GGAGAGGAGCAGGAAGCAUAAUAAUUCAGGAGGGUCACAGGUCACCCUGAGUAGGUUUCAACCACAGAAAAGCUUCAAAAACGGAGCGCUGAGUCGGCGGAAAGGAGCGCACUCCCUCAGCAGACCUCACAGAAUGACGGAAACGUUUGGCUAGUUUGUGUUUUCAGACCGUUUGCUGUCAAACGGUCUGAAAACGGUUUGAACAACUUCCUGAGAAAAAAGCUUCCUGUGGUCUGAAAGCUGCUGCCAGCGCCGAAGUCCUACUGUUUCUGUCCGCCUCCAUCAACUUUAGCUGCUCUGAGGUUAGCCCAGCUUAGCGUAAAGACUGGAUAGCAUCCAGGUUAGCCCAGCUUAGCAUAAAGACUGGAUAGCAUCCAGGUUAGCCCAGCUUAGCAUAAAGACUGGAAGCAGAGGGAAACUGCUUGCAUUGCUCAGAUUAAACAAUUUUAACCCAUUUAAACAGUCCCACUGUCUCAUUAUCUGUGGAGUUUUUCAUAAAAAAAAUUGCUAUUCUCACAUUUAUUGUCCUUAGAGACUCGUUUUGUAAGAUGGAUAUCUAUAAAGUCAAUCUAUCGGAAAAGAACGUUUUGGUUUUAUUUUGCCUGAACAUCUGAAUUUUAAAAAUAAUAUUUCAUUUGUAAGUGAGAUCACUGAGUUAAUAAAUCAGAAUUUAACGUUUUUCAAAGCAGAAAAUUCUGAGUUUUGGUGCAAUAAGAGCCUUUAGUUAAGCUCAUGUAAAGUUGGGCAUAAACUGACAUUUUUGGCUCUUUUUUAUGCAACAAUUUCUUUGACUGGACCGAAUGUCAGCGUAAUCAUGUGUCAUCCAUUGCGUAGCACAAUAGUGGUAAAAAGAAGCGAUUAAAACUUCAUGACCGACUUCCCAUCAGCAAUCAGGCCUGUUUGAAAUUUGGGUCGCCCCCGGUGAAGGUAUCGCCCGUUGCUGCAGCCCCUUGAGCCAAAAUCAGCUGAACUCACUGGAAUGCCUCUCAACAAAGUAUAUAAGCAACCUGACCAGCAAUAUAUCACUAUAAUAAUAAAAUAUUGAAUAAAAAAGAAUUUAAAUACUGGAAAUAAACUUCAAACAGCACAUGAAAAUAAAUAUGAAUUUAAUGUUCACUCAUCUCUCUCACGUUAGCAUUAGCAAUGUCUUCAAAUUCAAAACCGCUGCAGUUAAAGCUUGCAGCUAACUGUAGUGGAGUUAAAGUAGUUUGUAAAGUUACUCUGUCAAAAACUACCAGC